rnacentral:rRNA from 1 species
UACGGGGGGGGCAAGCGUUGUUCGGAAUUACUGGGCGUAAAGGGCUCGUAGGCGGCCAACUAAGUCAAACGUGAAAUCCCUCGGCUUAACCGGGGAACUGCGCUUGAUACUGGAUGGCUUGAGAUUGGGAGAGGGAUGCGGAAUUCCAGGUGUAGCGGUGAAAUGCGUAGAUAUCUGGAGGAACACCGGUGGCGAAGGCGACUUCCUGGCCUGUUCUUGACGCUGAGGCGCGAAAGCUAGGGGAGCAAACGGG